rnacentral:lncRNA from 1 species
GGGUUUUAGUUUUAUUAUAUAUUUUUUUCAUAUAUUUCUCAAUUAAUUUUGAAUUGAUAAUAAAUCGAUUUUCAAGUUCUUUUUUUAUAUUAGUUCGUACGAAAGAAUGACACAUGGCAUUCACCUUUCUCGCUGCCAUUGUAUGAUAUACAAUGGAUACCUAAUUUUAAAAUCAUUUAUGCUUUGAUUACCGUUGAGAACAUGCGAUCUGACG